rnacentral:rRNA from 1 species
AUACGGAGGACGCGAGCGUUAUCCGGAUUCAUUGGGUUUAAAGGGUGCGCAGGCGGCCGUGCAAGUCAGCGGUGAAAGCCCGGGGCUCAACCCCGGAAGUGCCGUUGAUACUGCAUGGCUGGAAUGCGGUCGAGGCGGGCGGGACGUGGCGUGUUGCGGGGGAAUGCGUAGAUAUGGCACAGAACGCCGAUAGCGGAGGCAGCUCGCCAGGCCUGCAUUGACGCUCGGACACGAAAGCGUGGGGAUCGAACAGGAUUAGAUACCCGGGUAGUCCACGCCGUAAACGAUGGGCGCUCGUCGUCGGCGGCAGACAGUCGGCGGCCAAGCGAAAGCGAUAAGCGCCCCACCUGGGGAGUACGGUCGCAAGGCUGAAACUCAAAUGAAUUGGCGGGG